UACGUAGGGGGCGAGCGUUGUCCGGAUUCAUUGGGCGUAAAGCGCGCGUAGGCGGCUUCGCAAGUCGGCCGUGAAAUCUCCGGGCUCAACUCGGAGGGGUCGGGCGAGACUGCGAGGCUCGAGGUGGGCAGAGGGCAGUGGAAUUCCGGGUGUAGUGGUGGAAUGCGUAGAGAUCCGGAGGAACACCAGUGGCGAAGGCGGCUGCCUGGGCCUGGCCUGACGCUGAGGCGGCGAAAGCGUGGGGAGCAAACAGG
rnacentral:rRNA from 1 species